rnacentral:rRNA from 1 species
AACGAACGCUGGCGGCAGGCCUAACACAUGCAAGUCGAACGCCGUAGCAAUACGGAGUGGCAGACGGGUGAGUAACACGUGGGAACGUACCUUUCGGUUCGGAAUAACUCAGGGAAACUUGAGCUAAUACCGGAUACGUGCGAGAGCAGAAAGAUUUAUCGCCGAAAGAUCGGCCCGCGUCCGAUUAGCUUGUUGGUGAGGUAACGGCUCACCAAGGCGACGAUCGGUAGCUGGUCUGAGAGGAUGAUCAGCCACACUGGGACUGAGACACGGCCCAGACUCCUACGGGAGGCAGCAGUGGGGAAUAUUGGACAAUGGGCGCAAGCCUGAUCCAGCCAUGCCGCGUGAGUGAUGACGGCCUUAGGGUUGUAAACUGCUUUUGUACGGAACGAAAAGGUACCUGGUUAAUACCUGGGGCUCAUGACGGUACCGUAAGAAUAAGCACCGGCUAACUACGUGCCAGCAGCCGCGGUAAU